CCUCGCAAUUACGCCCCCUCUUCUCGGGCCUGCGUGUAUGGGCACCCCGAACCUGGCAGUCUCAGUGCGCAUGCACCGUUGUCUCGGCCCUGUGGGCUUUCGCUAUUUUAUGGGGCUGUCUUUGUAACUUUGUUUUGCUUUUUUGUUAUCCUGACUUUUAGCGCAAUUCUUGGAACUUAGCAAGCAUUUAAUAAGUGAUUGAUUUCUAACUUCAGUUUCUUCUGUAAAGUGGGGAUAAACCUUUAGACUGCCUAUAUGCCACUCAAGAGUAUCCUGUGGAAAACAGCACUGCGGACAAGAGAAAAAACUUGAGAGAAGUCAGAUAAAGGCAGACGGGGAUGAUGCAAGCAUCCCGCUGUGCAAUUAGAGAGCUCAGACUGGGUCAAACGUGACUUCCCUUCGUAGUUCGCUUUCCCUUUGGUAGGCUCCUCAGAUUCUACCGACUUCUGGGUAAACAUGGCUGCAAUCUAGAUGUGACUCGCUACCCCUCCCUGGCACCGAACGAAAUAGACUACCUCAAAAGAGCAUAAAAAUUACCUUUGGAAGAACAGAGGGACUCCCCAGUAACCCACAGAAAUGAAGAUCCAACACAUAAUGAGAGAAGCAAGACUACAGGGGGGAAAGAAGGGGAAAAUAUGAAUAAACAACAUAAAAAAGAACAAAGAAAUUACAACCAACAGCUUCUAUCCAGGUAAUGAAUAAAGGAGGAUCAAUGGAACAGAGGAGGAUCAAGGAACACCAAGCAAAAACACAGAAACUCUAGCAAAUUGGACACAGGCUUUGGAAGAAUUCAAAAUAAAAUUCAAAAAACAAUUAAGAGAGGCUGAAGACAACUGGAAAAAAAAAAGAACUUAAAAAGCAAGAUAAGCCAUCUGGAAACAGAGGCACUUGAACUAAAAUGAGAAAACAGUAUCUUGAAAGUCAAGAUUAACAAGAUUAAAGAUGAGGCAAAGAAGAUAAAAGAUCAGAAGGAGAAAGAUGACAAAAAAGCCAGGGAUGAAAUUCAGUCUUCAAAAACUAGAACCCAACAACCAGAAGCAAAUAACUUUAUGAGACCUGUAAUAUUUAAAAUAGUUUGUGGUCAUAAACUGUGAUGAUUAAAUAGUGGAAGAUAUAAAUUGUAGUAGAUAUAAGAGUGGAUGAGUAAGUUGUGACCGCAGGAAAUAUGUUUUCACUACAGUGUUUUGUUUUUAAAUCAAAUAUAAGGUGGUCGCCAGGGAAAUAUUCCCAAUUAUUCAAAUAUACCCAAGUCAGCUGAGUUUUAUAGAGAUUUUAAUUAAUACAAAUGAGGAAUUAAAGAAAAGGAGAGAAAGAGAGAAAAGGGGGAAUAAUGAGAAAAGGAUAGGCCAGCCCAGGGCAGCCCUGGCCAACCCAGGCCUAAGCCCUUAAGAGAAAGAUCAGUCAGUCCUUAAUCACUCACCACAAUAUUUGUCCAAGCAAGGAUUCAGAGAGACAGAGUCUCUUCAGAGGGAGUUCCAGCCAGAGUCAGCCUCCUUCAGACUGUCUUCAGAGCCUCCUUAGAGACUCUCUCCCAACAGCCUUCUUAGAGCUGUUCUCAAGAGACCCUUUUCAACAGACUGUCCUCAAGAGACUGUCCCAAGAGCCUGUUUCCAGAGCUCUCUCCCAACAGCCUCCUUAGAGACUGUAUUCAAGAGACUGUCUUGUUUUCAGAUUUCUCAUCUCCUUAUAAAGGGAAUUUUCUCCUAUGUCUCCUCCCCUAAGUUCUCACAUCUACCAAUCACAGUAGACGUUUUUCAAAGGACAGACCAUUCUUAGUUCACACCUGAGUAGACUAAUCUUUUUGAGUAAUUUACACCUGAGUAGACUAGAAUCUGAGUAAGUUUUCACCUCUUUGUUCCUUGUAAAUUCACAAGUUGCUUGACCUUUAUAGGUACUUAGCACCCUUUUGUAUUAGUUCUAAAAUAGGCAUAGCUUAAAGAACUUUUUGUCUUACUAUAAGUAUGAGUUUAAGUACUUUUAAUUGUUCAGAAAAGAGUUUACAACUUUAUCUUCCCCUAGGGCAGACUUAAGUAGGGAUGGAGUAGAGGUCUCACAUUCCUGAUCUAAGCAGAGUUCUCACAUUCCUGAUCUAAGUAGCUUCACUGCCCAAAUGGGGAAUGGUCUUAAUCCAACCUUAUGAAGUAGGGUCUGGGGAAUUUUUUAACAUUCACAAGUCUGAGAAAUUUCAAGAUUCACAGGCCACAGGAAACUAUAAAACAAAAUCAAAAGAAUGAAAAAAAUUAAGGAAAAUAUGAAACACCUCAUUCACUCCUGGGAGCCAUCAAAGGCCAUUUGACACAGUCCACAUGGAAACUGGGGACUGCAAAGCAGCCCCAACAAAGAAUGGAAACACCCCUAAGUGACUUUCAUUAUUAACAUCCCCUUAUUAUUGGAAUUGCCAUGAUUAUUAUUUUUACUUAGCCCCAGGAAAAAUAGAUGAGAGCAGGGUUAAUAUAUAUGUCUCACUCUGACCCCCCAGGAUAUUACCAGGAGAGCCCAAUUACAAAAUUAAACCUAAAGAUUCUUAUAUACCCACUUAGAUAGAACCCUCUUUUCUAGGCAUAAACAUUUCUGGCAAAUCUGUGCUCUGAAUUCCCUAACCUAUAUCUUGGUCAUGUUGAUUCUACCCACUGAACCUUCCCCUAGCAACAGUAUUUCAUUGACUAUUUCCCUAGGUUUCCUGUCUGUUGUGAGGUUCCAUGGAAACAUGUAUAUUGAGAAUGAAACUGUGUGCCAAGAAGAUGUGUGAUCAUAAGGGUAUAAAAUAAAGCUAGGCCAAGGUGGAGCAGUUUAUCCUGUAAAACCUGUGCUGUGGAUUAAAUGUGAAAGCUGUGUCCCAUCCAUCAUUUUGCCAACACUGUCCCACCUACAAGAUCCCAUCCCCUGUGGGAGGCUGGCACACCCCACAGCAAUUCACAAAAUGGGAGAUUGAGAAAAUAGGUCCAGGAGAAACAACUUAAGAAUAAUUGGACUUCCAGAAGAUCAUGACAAAAGAAAAAGCCUGGACAUCAUUCUACAGGAAAUUAUCCAAGAAAAGUGCCCCCACAGUCUAGAGCAAGAGGGAAAAGUAGAGAUUGAAAGAAUCUACAGAUCACCUCCUGUACUUAAUCCUCAAUUGACAAUACCCAGGAAUGUUAUAGCCAAAUACAAGAACUACCAAAACAAGGAAAAAAUAUUACAAACUGCUAAGAAGUCAUUCCGAUUCUAUGGAACCACAGUUAGGAUGACACAGGAUCUGGCUGCAUCUACACUGAAGGACCAAAAGGUAUAGAAUAUGAUAUUCUGGAAAGCAAGGAAACUAGGUCUACAACCAAGAAUCAACUACCCAGCAAAACUGACUAUAUUUUUUCAGGGGAAAGUAUCAUCAUUUAAUAAAAUAAAAGACUUCCACGCAUUCAUAAAGAAAAGAUCAGAUUUGAACAGAAAAUUUGAUGCCCAAACACAGAACUCAAGAGAAUCACCAAAAGGAUCUGUGUUGGGGUAUGCCUGCGCUCAAGCCUUGCCCUGCUGCCUUCCACUGCCUGCUGUUUCUCCUGUCCAUCUGCUUGGCCAGCAUUCCUCGAUGCUCUCCACCCAGGUGUGAGCCUCCUCUUGCUGAGACCAGACCUGCCACAAGAGCCUGCCAAUCCCAGCCAUUAUUUUUCCACAGAGGGUGAUGUAUAAUAAUCUUUCUGCCCCAAUCCUUUCCACACUCCACAUGUGUGUUUCUAGUCUGCCAUAGCCAUUUUUCAGUGUGGAGAAAAGAACCCCACACCAAAUUUUCAAGCAGAUUUUUUUAAAGCCAAUUCUGGCCUCCUAGUUUAGAAGGCUGUUACUAAAGGUUUUUCACAGGAAGGGUAGUUAGUUCUAAAUCAGUAGAUUUAAAGCCAGUUUUGGGGAAUAAGCCUGAUUUUUCCCCUUCUUUCUCUUGACCCAAAACACUAAGGAGAAGUAUUUUUUCUUCAUAUGCACAUAUACUAUGUUUUCCCUCACUGUUUUGCUUCUUUAUGUUUGCUCUUUAAACAAACCCAAUUCAUCCUCUUUCAGGAAAAAUGCUAUUGCAAAGCCUGCUUGGAACUCUGAAAUAACAGUUGGAGUUGGUAGAGCUAAAAACUGCAGUUUGGAUCUGUUUAAUUCUUAUCCUUGGACUUUUUAUUUUCAUUGGAGAUUUCCCACUUUAUUUCCUUCUCCUCAAGAAUAUGCCAUAAACUAAACUACUUAUGUUUCAAACAACCUGAAAUAUUUUGACAAAGUUCUAAAAGUCUUAAAUGCUCUCAGUGUGCAGAGUGGAAAUUCUGCCCUGUGCUUCUAUGAGGAAAUUCAGACUUUUGACAAAUGAAAUCUAAAUGGAUAAUAAAUACUGGGGGAGGUGAAGAAAACCUUAAAAGAGAUCUGAAAGUUUCUUGCUAAGUAUUUUGAGUUUAUUAUCCUCCUAUGAUAGCAAGCAAAUCUAUUGGGAUUGGUGAAAAGGAUUUUGACUGUACUGCCUGUCUACACCUCAUAUUAUUGUAUUUACUGAUUGCUUUAAGGUUUAAUUUUUUUUAUUUAUCUGUAUUAAUCUAGUCAAUACCUUUCUGUAAUACUGAGUCAUUUUAAGCUACUAUGUUUUGACUAUAUUGAUAUUUAAUUUGUACCUUUAUGUCUGCUGAAGAACAAAAUAACACUGUGUAAGCCCAUGAACAUCUUGCCUGAAACCCUUGUCACUAGAUCCAUUAAAGAUCACAUGUUGCCUUUGAUAA